CAAUAUUUCGAUCACUGCUCUACGAAGCUUGCGGACGGAUCGUGAACCCGAUUUACGGCUCCGUCGGCCUGCUGUGGUCCGGCAGCUGGCAGCUCUGCCAGGCGGCGGUGGAAGCGGUGCUCAAGGGCGCACCUAUCAUCCAAAUCCCCUCCGAGACCGCAGCCUCCACCCCGGUUCCUCCCCUUAAAGCCUACGACAUCCACCAUGUCUCCAAGGAACCCGGCGCCGACGCCGCCGAGGCCGCCUCCACCCCCGUUCCUCCCCUCAAACCCUACGACAUCCGCCAUAUCUCCAAGGAUCCCGACGCCGUCGUCGCCGCCGCCGCGGAACUCCACAGGAUCUCCAAGUCCCGCCCCCGGUUCAAGCGCACCGCUUCUGCUAAACGGAAGCCCGGAACCGUACCGGUGGAGGCUGCUGAACCGGACUCAGCCCGAGGGUGUAAUCCGAGCUGGCCCCGGUGCGACCCGGUCG
rnacentral:lncRNA from 1 species